rnacentral:rRNA from 1 species
UGAAAGGGAAACGAUUGAAGUCAGUCGUACCGACGGAAAAUCAGCUCUUCGAGUGCGGACUUGUGGGCGUGCGUGAGCUUUAACCGGCCUCGUCGUUUGCUACGUUUGUGCUUUUUGGGUGUACUUUUUCGUAUGGUAGGCCAACGUCAGUUUCGAUCACCAUAAAAUGAUCGGAGGAAUGUAGCUUCGAUCUUGUAUUGAAGUGUUAUAGCCUUUGGUAGAUGUGGUGACUGAGACUGAGGAUUGCAACGAAUACCCUUUGGGCUAUCCGUCUGACCUCUGAAAGUUGCUUAGGUGCCGAAAGCUUGCUUACGGUCAUCUAUGACGACGGUCAAAAGGUUAGAACGUGAUUAUAUUCGUUAAGGAUGUUGACGUA